rnacentral:rRNA from 1 species
UACGUAGGGGGCUAGCGUUGUCCGGAUUUAUUGGGCGUAAAGGGCGCGUAGGCGGCCAUUCAAGUGACGGGUGAAAGCCCUCGGCUUAACCGAGGAACUGCCUGUCAGACUGGAUGGCUUGAGACCGGGAGAGGUGAGUGGAAUUCCCAGUGUAGCGGUGAAAUGCGUAGAUAUUGGGAGGAACACCAGUGGCGAAGGCGGCUCACUGGACCGGAACUGACGCUGAGGCGCGAAAGCGUGGGGAGCAAACAGG